rnacentral:rRNA from 1 species
AAGCCCUUCGGGGUGGAUUAGUGGCGAACGGGUGAGUAACACGUGGGCAAUCUGCCCUUCACUCUGGGACAAGCCCUGGAAACGGGGUCUAAUACCGGAUAACACCGGCUUCCGCAUGGAAGCUGGUUGAAAGCUCCGGCGGUGAAGGAUGAGCCCGCGGCCUAUCAGCUUGUUGGUGGGGUAAUGGCCCACCAAGGCGACGACGGGUAGCCGGCCUGAGAGGGCGACCGGCCACACUGGGACUGAGACACGGCCCAGACUCCUACGGGAGGCAGCAGUGGGGAAUAUUGCACAAUGGGCGAAAGCCUGAUGCAGCGACGCCGCGUGAGGGAUGACGGCCUUCGGGUUGUAAACCUCUUUCAGCAGGGAAGAAGCGAAAGUGACGGUACCUGCAGAAGAAGCGCCGGCUAACUACGUGCCAGCAGCCGCGGUAAUACGUAGGGCGCAAGCGUUGUCCGGAAUUAUUGGGCGUAAAGAGCUCGUAGGCGGCUUGUCACGUCGGGUGUGAAAGCCCGGGGCUUAACCCCGGGUCUGCAUCCGAUACGGGCAGGCUAGAGUGUGGUAGGGGAGAUCGGAAUUCCUGGUGUAGCGGUGAAAUGCGCAGAUAUCAGGAGGAACACCGGUGGCGAAGGCGGAUCUCUGGGCCAUUACUGACGCUGAGGAGCGAAAGCGUGGGGAGCGAACAGGAUUAGAUACCCUGGUAGUCCACGCCGUAAACGUUGGGGAACUAG